rnacentral:rRNA from 1 species
CGUAUUCGAAAGUGAGAGUGACGGUUCCGGUACCUGAGUACUGCGAGACACGUGAAAUCUCGUGGGAAUCCGGGAGGACCAUCUCCUAAGGCUAAAUACUAACUGACGACCGAUAGUGUACCAGUACCGUGAGGGAAAGGUGAAAAGAACCCCUGUCAGGGGAGUGAAAGAGAAUCUGAAACCUGGUGCUUACAAGCUGUGGGAGCCGUACUUGUACGGUGACCAUGUGCCUUUUGCAUAAUGAGUCAGCGAGUUAAUCUGUACAGCAAGGUUAAGCGUAAGUGAAGCCGCAGCGAAAGCGAGUCCGAACAGGGCCACAGUUGUGCGGAUUAGACCCGAAACCGGGUGAUCUAUCCAUGAGCAGGUUGAAGCAAGGGUAAAGCCUUGUGGAGGACCGAACCAGUUCUGGCUGAAAACAGUUUGGAUGACUUGUGGAUAGGGGUGAAAGGCCAAUCAAACAUCGUGAUAGCUGGUUCUCUCCGAAAUAUAUUUAGGUAUAGCGUCAUGUAGUAAUACUAGGGGGUAGAGCACUGAAUGGGCUAGGGCAUACACCAAUGUACCAAACCCUAUCAAACUCCGAAUACCUAGUGUGUAAUCAUGGCAGUCAGGCGGCGAGUGAUAAAAUCCGUCGUCGAGAGGGGAACAACCCAGACUAACAGCUAAGGUCCCUAAAUCUCAUUUAAGUGGAAAACGAUGUGGAGUUACUUAGACAACCAGGAUGUUGGCUUAGAAGCAGCCAUCCUUUAAAGAAAGCGUAAUAGCUCACUGGUCUAGUGAUUCUGCGCGGAAAAUAUAACGGGGCUAAAAUGAGUACCGAAGCUUUAGACUUAGUUUUACUAAGUGGUAGGAGAGCGUUGUAUUUGCGUCGAAGGUGUACCGGUAAGGAGCGCUGGAGCGAAUGCAAGUGAGCAUGCAGGCAUGAGUAGCGAUAAUUGGGGUGAGAAUCCCCAACGCCGUAAACCCAAGGUUUCCUACGCGAUGCUCGUCAUCGUAGGGUUAGCCGGGUCCUAAGCAAAGUCCGAAAGGGGUAUGCGAUGGAAAAUUGGUUAAUAUUCCAAUGCCAACUAUAAUGUGCGAUGGAAGGACGCUUAGAGUUAGAGGAGCCAGCGGAUGGUAGUGCUGGUCGAAAGGUGCAGGUUGGAGUUCAGGCAAAUCCGAACUCCUUUAAGCCGAGGCCUUACAGGUGCGUGAAGUUCUUCGGAAUGAAUCGUAAAUCCUUGAUACUGUCGAGCCAAGAAAAGUUUCUAAGUUUAGUUAUAGUUGCCCGUACCGUAAACCGACACAGGUGGGUGGGAUGAGUAUUCUAAGGCGCGUGGAAGAACUCUCUUCAAGGAACUCUGCAAAAUAGCACCGUAUCUUCGGUAUAAGGUGUGCCUAACUUUGUGAAGGAUUUACUCCGUAAGCAUUGAAGGUUACAACAAAGAGUCCCUCCCGACUGUUUACCAAAAACACAGCACUCUGCUAACUCGUAAGAGGAUGUAUAGGGUGUGACGCCUGCCCGGUGCUCGAAGGUUAAUUGAUGACGUUAGCUCUGCGAAGCGUUUGAUCGAAGCCCGAGUAAACGGCGGCCGUAACUAUAACGGUCCUAAGGUAGCGAAAUUCCUUGUCGGUUAAAUACCGACCUGCAUGAAUGGCGUAACGAGAUGGG